GCUGAGAAAAUUGAGGGAAAAUGAGAGAAAAAGAAAAAAUCAGCGUCUGAUUAAGUCUUUGUAGUUAGUUCUGUGCAUUUUUGGAAAUCUAAGAUUUGGUUUAGUGUUUUUUUCCCCUUCGUUUUUCUCGGCAGCUAGAUGGGAUUUAAGGUAAAUUUGGGAGAGUUUAGCUUUGAUUUGAGCAAUAAAUUUUUUAUAGGGUUUAUUAAGAAAAUGUUAUAUAGAUUUGAGGGUUUAAUUUUACAAUGGGUGUUUGAUUCGUCGAAUUGACUGGAGGAUUUGGAUUGGAUUUCUGGACUUAGUUUUGAUCUAGGGUUUGAUUUGAUGGGUUUGAAAUGGAUAAUGGAAUGGACAAUUUUCUUUCAUCUGAGGUGAGUUUGGACGGUUUUGGGAUUACAUUUUGUGAUUUAAUUUUGGUCUAUGUGAUUGGACCUGUACAUGAUGCAUGUUUGGAAUUUAUUUCACUUCGGAUUGGAUUAAAUGGAUGGAUUUCAUGACCCUGCCUGGAUCAGAGUGAAUGAGGAAAAGAAAGAAAAUAGUUCUGCAAGUUACCCAGAAAUGGUUUCUUCCAUUAUCUAUUUUCACUAUUUUUCUUUCAUUUUCCCUGGAGUUCUUGAGAUCCAAACAGUGCCCACGACACUCAUUACGAUUUAUAAUAAGGUGUGUGGUGAUAUUUUCAGGUGGGUACGGAGUGGCCACAGGAGGGCCAUUGUCCUGGGGUCUCUGCUACAACAAGGAAAUGAGCCCCAGUAAGUCAUACUGUGACGAUUUCUACAAAUACACCUACCCCUGCACUCCUGGUGCCGAAUACUAUGGCCGUGGUGCAUUGCCUAUCUUCUGGUAAGCAUCUUUGCCUAUAAUUUGAUGGGGAGUUUUGGUUGAGCCAAUCCCAAAAUGAAGGAAUUUUCUGGUGUGAUUUAGAUUAAGCGUUGUUAUGACAGGAACUACAACUAUGGAGCAACUGGAGAAGCCUUGAAGGUGAAUCUGCUGGACCAUCCAGAAUACAUCGAACAAAAUGCUACCUUGGCCUUCCAGGCUGCAAUUUGGAGGUGGAUGACCCCAGUUAAGAAGUCACAGCCUUCUGCACAUGACGUCUUUGUUGGCAACUGGAAGCCCACCAAGAAUGACACUUUGGCCAAGCGGGUGCCUGGUUUUGGAACCACAAUGAACAUUCUAUACGGGGACCAGGUUUGCGGGCAGGGCGACGUUGAUUCCAUGAACAACAUCAUCUCCCAUUACCAAUAUUACCUCGACCUGUUGGGUGUUGGUAGAGAACAGGCAGGACCCCACGAAAACGUCACCUGUGCUGAGCAGAUUGCAUUCAACCCAUCCUACACUGCAUCCUCUUAAGCUCCAUAUGAUCACCCCUUGGAUGGAUUAUGAAAUAAGAAAGGGCAAGUAAGAUUGUAAGAGAUGUGUGAAGUUAGACAUGACAGGUGUUAUAAGGUGUGGAUUCAGUUGCUGCUGCGCGCUUCUGUCAUUUAUGUGUAGAUUUUGGCGUUCAUUUUGUGUAAUGUGUAGUCAUUAAAUAUGAAUUGUAUGAAGCAUUUUAUUCAUAUAUAUUUGUUUCAACUGUGAAGACCUUUCAGAAGUUGCAGUGUGCCUGAAAUGGUAGUAGUAGAGGAACCAAUGGUCUAUAAUGGAAACCUCAAAGAUGAGUUAUUCACAAUAAAUGAUGGUGUGAUACCUGAAGGAACAUCAAAUU
rnacentral:lncRNA from 1 species